CUGUCGCAUCGUUGGUUGCUCGGCUACGCCAUGUGCUAUCGAUGAUUUGCAGCCAGUUUCGUGUCGGUCGCUUGCUGGUUCGGUCGUGGUUUGACCAACUCGUGUUGUUUGUUCGGACUUCUGCUUUCUAAAUUCACAUAAUAUUCGAUCAUCAAUCGACUAUUUAAUUGUAACUACUACAGUAAUGUUAUUUAUUAUUUGCGCGUUUAGUGUACAUUAAUGUACAAAAGUGGUAGACACUUGAUCGCGUUUCGUGUGCAUACUUAGGUAUGUGUACUUCAGUGUCGGUCGCUAAUUGAAUUGGAUAUAGAAUGGCCCUCAUGUAGAUUUAUUGAUCAUUAUCCAUGUAUUCUAGUAGCGCAAGAAUGGUUUUAGACGAUGCACUUUAUGGCAUCCGCGAAGUUCCGACAUAACUGCCUUAAAAUGGCCGCUAAACUUUGUCCCACUUCUGCAUCUUUAGGUGUCUAGCAGGUGAUCAGAAUGUCCUAGGACAACGAUUCUUUGAUCAGAUUGCAUCUAGCAGGCGAUCAGAAUGUCCUAGGACAACGAUUCUUUGAUCAGAUUGCGUCUAGCAAGCGAUCAGAAUGUCCUAGGACAACGAUUUUUUGAUCAAAUUGAAUCUAGCAGGCGAUUAAAAUGUCCUAGGACAACGAUUUUUUGAUCAGAUUGCGUCUAGCAGGCGAUCAGAAUGUCCUAGGACAACGAUUUUUUCAUCAGAUAGCGUCUAGCAGGCGAUCAGAAUGUCCUAGGACAACGAUUUUUUCAUCAGAUAGCGUCUAGCAGGCGAUCAGAAUGUCCUAGGACAACGAUUCUUUGACCAGAUUGCGUCUUGCAGGCGAUCAGAAUGUCCUAGGACAACGAUGCCUUCAUGAGAUUUUUUAGGCAUCUAGCAGGCGAUCAGAAUGUCCAAGGACAACCAUUCUUACAUCAGAUUGCGUCUAGCAGGCGAUCAGAAUGUUCUAGGACAACGAUUCUUUCAUCAGAUUGCAUCUAGCAGGCGAUCAGAAUGUCCUAGGACAACGAUUCUUUGAUCAGAUUGCGUCUAGCAGGCUAUCAGAAUGUCCUAGGACAACGAUUCUUUGAUCAGAUUGCAUCUAGCUGGCGAUCAGAAUGUCCUACGACAACGAUUCUUUCAUCAGAUUCAUUACUAGAAUCGAUUGACAAUCAGAGGCAGAGACAGCGUAGUAACAGCCCAGGGACGUGCACAACGAAUGAUUUGAGUGAUUCUUUGAGAUGCGCGCGGGGAGUCCGUCGGAUAUGUUCCGGUGACUAUGGAUACUUACUGGAACUCAAGUUAAAUGUAUGUGUUUGACAUGAGUACAAGUGAGUACGUUUGGAAUCUCCGCGAGGAAUAGUAAAGAAGUGCGUAUCAUCAAGUCUACAUACUAUUUGCGGAAACGUGUUUGUGCGCUUUGGUUCUUUAUUGAUAAAAGAACAAAGGAGUAAGUAAUCUAAUAAAACUUCACUUUUAUUUAACUUUAUAAAUCUUACAGUUGCUUUGUAAUAAUUGUAAAUGUUCGGUUAAUAAAGAAUAUUUUUAGGGAAA